UUUAUAAAUGAAGGACGCUGAUGCCUAGAAGGAGCAAAGGUUUGUGCGAAGGAAGAGAACGUGAAAAAUGAAAAGAAAAUGGAUUUUUAUCAAGGACCUGCUCCACACCAGCAAUCAAUCAGUGCGCUUUCACAUAUAUCAACAGACCUUUUCCCUCAAAAUCUCUACAUGCUGCAUUUACAGAUGAGGAAACUGGCUCCAUUAGGUAACUUAGGAACUCAGUGAGGGGGAGACUCAGAUGCCAACGCCCAGUGCUCGGCUCUUGAGUCCAGAGCUCAUUCAUUCAAUCCACACAUUCAACCAACAACCAUUUCUCCAUCAUCUACUAUUAUGCUGCACAUUUAAGAACAAAGAGAUGAACAAAAUAAGCAAGCUUCCGCCAUGCUGGAGUGUAAAGGUGCCAGGUGCUGUUGUUGAAGUACAAGGUGCUAUGUGAAAAUCUACAGGGAAUCCUGCUGCGGUUCCCUGGAGAAGCGACACACGAGCAAGGAGCUGACGGAUAAUGCCCAGGAGUUGGCAAGGCAGAGAGGGCGUGGAGAGGAGGAGUAUUCUAGGCAGAUGGAACAGUGAAUGCAAAGGAUCUGAGCUGCAAGAGUUUGUGAUAUUCCAGGUGGCUGGAGAAAUGGCUUGGGGCCAGAUCGUGCAGGACCACAUGGGCUGUGUCCAGAAUUUGAGAAGUUCAAGUCACCAGACGUCUAAAGAGUGGUAGGCACAAUCAGAGUGGUUUUUUAAAAAGACUCUAGCAGGGGCUGGCCCAUUGUGGUUAAUUUCACACACUCCAUUUCAGUGGCCCAGGGUUCAUGGAUGUUAGCCCAGGACCAAUCUUCCUCACCAAAAAACCCAAAAACAAAAAAACAAAACCCUGCCAAGUGGUGAAUGGCCUAGAGUGAAAGCAUAGACGAGUUAGGAGGCCCUCCUAGCCAUGCAAGAGGAAGACAAGAUGAAGGAGGGCUGGGCUGACAGUGGCAGCAGAGGGCCUAGGAAGAAGUUGGUGGAUUCGCAAACUACUGAGGAAGUAAAUCACCAGGGCUUGUGAUUAACUCCAUGUGGAGAGAUGGAGGGGGAAGUGGCAGUACCUGUCAGGUCCCCACUCUGGUCCAUAGCCCCUCACCCCCCACCAGCAGGUU
rnacentral:lncRNA from 1 species